rnacentral:lncRNA from 1 species
AGAAGAAUGAUCAGUUCAAGAUAUCAAGUCAUCUUUAUAGGAAUCUCCAUUCUAUGCACUCCAUCUUUUGGCAGCAUACAGACAUCUGGAUGGUGCUUCCUGCAUUGCAUUCAUAGUUUAUAGCCUUUUGGAAUUAACUGUAAUGAAAUAGAACUCCUAAAUUGUAAAUAGCAAAAGAAACAGCCAGAAAGUUCAUCAAAACCUGAGUUCUCAAAUUCCAAGUGGCUCUACCAGGCUACCACGAAUUUACAGUUGGAGAUGCUGAGAAUCAUCUGAGAUGGAGGAGACUAACAUUUUGCAGAUUUCCCUCUGCAUGUCCCUACAGACUACAUCGAUCAUUCCACGGUGCAACCCACCCCCAACCCACACCCUUCUCCUUGCUCUUUUGAAUAAAGGAUCCCAUCCAGCUGCACACUCCCAGGGGGAAGCUUGGGACAGCAACGUGUGCUUCCCAGAUCUACAAUUUGCUUGCUUAGAAAGUGGGUUUCCAUAUGGAGCAACAGUAGGAGCAUCUGUGUUUCCCUAUUUCUU